ensembl:lncRNA
AAAGAAGCCUUUAACUGAAUGCCUUUGAGCAUAAACCUGGGUGUUACUCUGGACUAACAUGGAGCUAUGCAGCCACUUCAGAUUUUCUCUUCAUCUGUUCAAUUUCUGCACAUUAGGGUAUAUUUCUCUGCAUUAUGUGAUGGUUCUAGUUCAGUAGAAUAACCAGCCACUGCCAAGGAAAUUCUUACAAUCUUGUUCUCUCUCCAUGGACUGAGUUCCUGGGAUUCAGUCCUGAAGGGUAAAGACAUCCAGGAAGGUUGGCUUCUCCACAAGAAGGAAGUCUUAAAGGUGCAACAGCAGGCUAACCCCCUGAGCCCCAAAAUGAGCUGUCGGGGGAGAAGUUGAGCAUGGAUGAACAGGGAGUUUUUCCUGAGGCUUCAGGAGAAGAAGAGAAUCUACCUCCUGUGGAAGAAGGGAUGGACAACUCAGAGAGAGUACAAAGAGAUUCUUAGGAUGUGAACGGAGAGUGUCAGAAAAGCAAAACCCCAGCUUGAAUCAACAUGUCCAUUGGAGUAAAAGAGAACAAAAAGGUUUGUUUGUUUGUUUGUUUGUUUUUUACAAAUAUAUUAACAGUAAGAAGAGGGCUAAGGAGAAUCUCCAUCUUUUACCAGAUGAGAUGGUGUAAGAGAUUAUUCUUUUAUAUCAUUGACUCAAAGUUUGCUGGGGAACAAGUCCAGGCAAGUCCUGGGCAAAGGCAGAGAAAUCUUUUGUCUUGAGGACACUGAUGGACAGGUCCUGGCUAAGGAUUGUGAAAUCCUCUAAGGAGCACAGAUGGACAAGGCCAGGCGCAACGAGAGAGAGAUAAGCUGCUGCUAAUGGCCAGGAAACGGUCUUUUUGUGUGGACUUAUCUCGAGGAAGAUGGCCAUCUCAGGAGGUAUGCACAGGACUCUUGCUCAAGCACCCAGGAAUGUCAUGUAGGCAGGAGAAAAUGGAGGAUAAAAGAGGGUCCAACAACCACGGCGAUGGUAGAGGCUUAUCUCUCACCACGACAGACUUGAGGGGUUCUCCGCCAUCUGAUCCUUCACCACAACAGGGAGGCUGAUCUCUCACCGCAACACGGAGGCUGAUCUCUCACCGCAACACAGAGGCUGAUCUCUCAUGAUCUCUCACCACGACACAAGCUUCCUGCCUUCAGAUCCCUCUCUACGGACCAUUUGCUGACGGACUUCCCUGGACCUGCUACCUGAGACCUGCUGCUUCCUCCCUGACCUGCACCCUCUCGUUGCCCAAGACCGGCCUCGCUGCUCCUGCCCUUCGGCCUCGGACCGUCGGAACAUCGUGCAACGGGACUACUGCCGGAUCCUGGUGUCUCUUCCUGCAGAAGCUGACAGCCCAUGGCAUGGACUGCUACACUCUUUGCUGAUGUCAACGGUUUAAGGGCUGGUCCGGCCCGGUUCCGCAACUAGUGGGGCGGAGGAAUUUCACAAAAUCCGC